rnacentral:lncRNA from 1 species
UGGUCCGACUUCUUACACUCAUAAUAAAUGACGAGCUGUUCUUUCUCUUUUUCUUUACUUGGCUUCCCCUUAACUAGUGGUCUUCUCUUAAUCUUUUGUCUUCUUUUCUUCAUAAACCAUCUGAAUUUUUCUAUGAUCAAUGCUAAAUCCUCAUCAUCUUCAUUGUUUUCUAAUUUUUUUGAAUUUUUUUCUUCUUGAGCCAUUGAUUUGAGGGCA